rnacentral:rRNA from 1 species
UACGUAGGGCGCAAGCGUUAUCCGGAAUUAUUGGGCGUAAAGAGCUCGUAGGCGGUCUGUUGCGUCUGCUGUGAAAACCCGGGGCUUAACCCCUGGCUUGCAGUGGAUACGGACAGACUAGAGUUCGGUAGGGGAGACUGGAAUUCCUGGUGUAGCGGUGAAAUGCGCAGAUAUCAGGAGGAACACCGGUGGCGAAGGCGGGUCUCUGGGCCGAUACUGACGCUGAGGAGCGAAAGCGUGGGGAGCGAACAGG